UACAGAGGUCCCAAGCGUUGCUCGGAAUGACUGGGCGUAAAGGGCGCGUAGGCGGUUCGUACAGUCAGACGUGAAAUUCCCGGGCUCAACCUGGGGGCUGCGUUUGAUACGUGCGGGCUUGAGUUCGGAAGAGGGUCGUGGAAUUCCCAGUGUAGAGGUGAAAUUCGUAGAUAUUGGGAAGAACACCGGUGGCGAAGGCGGCGACCUGGUCCGAUACUGACGCUGAGGCGCGAAAGCGUGGGGAGCAAACAGG
rnacentral:rRNA from 1 species